rnacentral:rRNA from 1 species
AUUGAACGCUGGCGGCAGGCAUAACACAUGCAAGUCGAACGAGUGGCGGACGGGUGAGUAAUGUCUGGGAAACUGCACGAUGGAGGGGGAUAACUACUGGAAACGGUAGCUAAUACCGCAUCCCAUCGGAUGUGCCCAGAUGGGAUUAGCUAGUAGGUGGGGUAACGGCUCACCUAGGAGACGAUCCCUAGCUGGUCUGAGAGGAUGACCAGCCAAACAGGAACUGAGACACGGUCCAGACUCCGACGAGAGGCAGAAGUGGGGAAGAGUGCACAAUGGUCGCAAGCCGGAUGUAACAAUCCCGCGUGAGUGAAGAAGGCCUUCGGGUUGUAGAGUACUUUCGGCUAGGAGGUGUGACUCGCAGAAGAAGCACCGGCUAACUCCGUGCCAGCAGCCGCGGUAAUAC